rnacentral:rRNA from 1 species
AACGAACGCUGGCGGCAUGCCUAACACAUGCAAGUCGAACGAACCCUUCGGGGUUAGUGGCGCACGGGUGCGUAACGCGUGGGAACCUGCCUUUAGGUUCGGAAUAACAGUUAGAAAUGACUGCUAAUACCGGAUGAUGUCUUCGGACCAAAGAUUUAUCGCCUUUAGAUGGGCCCGCGUUGGAUUAGCUAGUUGGUGGGGUAAAGGCCUACCAAGGCGACGAUCCAUAGCUGGCCUGAGAGGAUGAUCAGCCACACUGGGACUGAGACACGGCCCAGACUCCUACGGGAGGCAGCAGUGGGGAAUAUUGGACAAUGGGCGAAAGCCUGAUCCAGCAAUGCCGCGUGAGUGAUGAAGGCCUUAGGGUUGUAAAGCUCUUUUACCAGGGAUGAUAAUGACAGUACCUGGAGAAUAAGCUCCGGCUAACUCCGUG